GUAGGAUGUAAGCUUCAACGACCCAACCAAGCUCAUAAUUUCAUGUUAACCGGCAACUCAGUGACAUCAGCCAACAAGUUCCCCUGUGGAAGGCACGAAAGAUGAAGAGACAGCAGCUUCCACCUGAGACAUGAUGAAGGGGCCGUGAUUAAUGCCCAGAAUGUUACUCCAAAGAGCAAUCUCUGAAGAACUAUACCUCACCAUCCUACCAGCCACACCCCUCCUGCUUAAUGGAACAAGUUCCCAUCUUCAUGAAGCUAAGUCAUCUCCAAGUAUUUUAAUUCUGUUGACACACUGAAUUCAUUGUUUUCUUUCAAGUAUCCAUGUCUCCUCUUGGAGUCCAUUAGAGCCUAUAAAUCAGAUCAUCCAUCCUCUCUGCCCUAGACUCAGAAGAACUUGAGGACGUGCUCUGAGGAAGGUCACUGUGAACGCCGAUCAUAGACAUGAAUGAAAAGAAAACAUUCCGGGCCCUUGGCAAGCAUGAGAACAACGUGGAGCAGGGAAAGGAUCCGGGAAGGAUGACACACACAAGUCUCAGCUAUUUCAAAUUUUCCCUGGGAAGACUUGCUUGGGAUAAUGAGGGGAAGAGACUCCUCUUUUCUAGCCUGCAUCACAAGCUCCCUUCCGCCGAGUCCCAAGCCUUGCUCGAUCAUCCGAAACUGAAGGUUCACAGGUGGAAGGGACCAGCCUUGUCUGAGGUGAGACUUUGGACUUUUGAGUUAAUGCUGGAAUGAGUUAAGACUUUGGGGGACAGUUGGGAAGGCAUGAUUAUAUUUUGCAAUGUAAGAAGAAUACAAGAUUUGGAGGGGCCAGGGGCAGAAUGAUAUCGUUUGGAUCUGCAACCCUGCCCAAGUCACAGAUCGAACUGCAAACCUCAAUGUCGGAGGGAGGCCUGGUGUGAGGUGGCAGGAUCAUAAGAGUAAUCCUUCAUGAAUGAUUUAGCAACAUCCCUCUGGUGCUGUUCUAGUGACAGCGAGUAAUCACAAAAUCUAGUUGUUUAAAAGUGUGGGGCACCUCCCUACUUCCUUUCUUGCUCCUGCUCCCACCAUGUGAGUCAUCUCACUCCCCCUUUGCCUUCUGCCAUGAUUUUAAGUUUCCUGAGGCCUCCCCAGAAGCCGAGCAGAUGCCAGCAUCAUGCUUCCUAUACGCCAUGCAGAACUCUGA
rnacentral:lncRNA from 10 species